GGCGGCGGCGGCAGCGGCCGGAGCUGGAGGGGGAGGAGGGGAGGAACCUGAUCCUCCGGUAGCGAAGGGCUGGAGGCAAACACCGACCUCCCCCAGAGCAGCCCGGGAGUAGGGAGGGCUGUGCUACCCCGAGGGGCCCUCCCGGCGGGCAGAGGAUUUUCUUGGUGGAUAUCCACAGUAGCUCAAGAACUGCAAUAAACCCUGAUAUUAACAACUGAAAGGCCAGGGAUUUAGCUCAGCGGUUCCGGCACCUGCCUUGCAAGCCCAAGGUCCCAAGUUUGAUCCCUGGUACCAAAAAAAAAUUGAAAAUAUUUUAACAUCUGGUUUAUCUGCAAUACUGUAAGCAUUUUGUUAUUAAUUAGAAUUAAUUCUAUCUGCUUUGGUUAAUGAUCUCCUUUGAAAGAUUUAUAAGCUUUCCUUUGGACAAAUAGCAACUUAUUUUGAUAAAGCACAAUCCUUAGUUUUCAAUAUUAAGCUACAUCCUUUAAAAUGGCUAUUAAUACUAAAGAAUAGAGGCUGUUAGUAGGAGACAUGUACAAUGUCAAAGGAAUGCACAUGCCAGUCAUGACUAAUACUAUUUCAGAGGAAAUUUCUAACAAAAAGGAGAUUUUUCCAUGUAAUAAGGCAUUUAUUUUAAUCAACAGAAGGUUUAAUAAAGAUCCUAAACAAAUUUGUUGUAAUAGGUAUGAAGGAAUUGAAUAGAAUUUCCCAGGAAAUAUCACUCAUAAUGUUCCCAUUCUAAUAGUUCAGCAGUGUUCUUAUACUUUCUGUGGCUGGAAUCCCAGGUAGAAAACUUUUCAGCUCCUGAGGCCAUAACACAGCCACCCCUCACUGCAGCUAACGUUUCUGAGAAUUUAGUGUGAGUGAGACAUUGCUGCAUGCUGCACUUCGUUAUCUCAUUGUAAUGCUCAGAAUCCAGUGAAACAGGCACAAAUGUUACGGUCCUUUUAUAGUCAGAUAAGAAACUGAGGCAAACAGAUUCUUGUUCAAGGGGCAGUAUUAAAUAGAACACAAGAUACAUUAUAUUGGCUGUUUCACCUUCUCUAUCACACUGAAAGAAUAAGAUUUUUUAAAGGAAUGUCAAGUUGAACUCUACAGCUGUUACCUGAAAAGGAAAAAUGAAAGUCUUUUUUCAUUGCUGUGGUUGUCAUGCCAGUGAUUAUUUCCAUUGGAAAAUUGGUUCAACCAGAGUUUAGAG
ensembl:lncRNA